rnacentral:rRNA from 1 species
UAUUGGUCAAUGGGCGGGAGCCUGAACCAGCCAAGUCGCGUGAGGGAUGACGGCCCUAUGGGUUGUAAACCUCUUUUGCCGGGGAGCAAAGUGCCGCACGUGUGCGGUUUGGAGAGUACCCGGAGAAAAAGCAUCGGCUAACUCCGUGCCAGCAGCCGCGGUAAUACGUAGGAUGCGAGCGUUAUCCGGAUUUAUUGGGUUUAAAGGGUGCGUAGGCGGACGCUUAAGUCAGCGGUAAAAUUGCGGGGCUCAACUUCGUCGAGCCGUUGAAACUGGGUGCCUUGAGUGGGCGAGAAGUACGCGGAAUGCGUGGUGUAGCGGUGAAAUGCAUAGAUAUCACGCAGAACUCCGAUUGCGAAGGCAGCGUACCGGCGCCCAACUGACGCUGAAGCACGAAGGCGUGGGUAUCGAACAGGA